AAAAACAAAUUUGAAACCUUGGUUUGUCAGCUGGCAAGAGUGGGUGGGAAAGAUGUAAAGGACUGCACGCACAAAGUGAUGGACAGGCUCUUCACCAACAACCUAAUGACACUGUUUAAUUUGAAAGGGAAGGGAAAAAAAGAUAAAAUUGGGCUCGAAGACAAGAAAUUGUUUUCAGCAAUAAAAGCUGCUGUCAUGAAAUGGA